UGCCCUAGUAACGGCGAGUGAAGCGGCAACAGCUCAAAUUUGAAAGCUGGCUCUCGGGCCCGCAUUGUAAUUUGCAGAGGAUGCUUCUGGCGACGCGCCUUCCGAGUUCCCUGGAACGGGACGCCAUAGAGGGUGAGAGCCCCGUCCGGUCGUGCGCCUAGCCUCUGUGAAGCUCCUUCGACGAGUCGAGUAGUUUGGGAAUGCUGCUCAAAAUGGGAGGUAUACGUCUUCUAAAGCUAAAUACCGGCCAGAGACCGAUAGCGCACAAGUAGAGUGAUCGAAAGAUGAAAAGCACUUUGAAAAGAGAGUUAAAAAGUACGUGAAAUUGUUGAAAGGGAAGCGCUCAUGACCAGACUUGGGCUGGCCCGAUCAUCCGGCGUUCUCGCCGGUGCACUCGGGCCGCCCAGGCCAGCAUCAGCUUUCGCCGGGGGAUAAAGGCGGCGGGAAUGUGGCUCCCUCGGGAGUGUUAUAGCCCGCCGUGCAAUACCCUGGUGGGGGCUGAGGUUCGCGCGUAUGCACGGAUGCUGGCGUAAUGGUUAUCAGCGAC
rnacentral:rRNA from 1 species